UACAGAGGGUGCAAGCGUUGUCCGGAAUCACUGGGCGUAAAGGGCGCGUAGGUGGUGACCUAAGCGUGCGGUGAAAGCCCGAGGCUCAACCUCGGGUCGGCCGUGCGAACUGGGUCACUGGAGCAGAAUAGAGGCAGGUGGAAUUCCGGGUGUAGCGGUGGAAUGCGUAGAGAUCCGGAAGAACACCGGUGGCGAAGGCGGCUCACUGGCUCGUUUCUGACGCUGAGGCGCGAAAGCGUGGGGAGCAAACAGG
rnacentral:rRNA from 1 species